UCAGGAGUCGUCUAGUGGCAGGACAGCGGCCUUUGACACCGCGAACGCGAGGUUCGAAUCCUCCCUCCUGAUCCA
rnacentral:tRNA from 1 species